rnacentral:rRNA from 1 species
AAUCAUUAGUCCCUUAAUUAGGGACUGGAAUGAAUGGUUUAACAUUUCCUUAACUUUUUUAAAAAUUAAUAAAAAAUUUAUAUUAAAUAUAAAAAUAUAUUUAUAUACUAACUAGACGACAAGACCCUUUCAAACUUAACUGAAGUUAAGCUGGGGCAGCUUAAUAAUUAAUAUCUUAUUAUUUUUAUUAAAAAUAGACCCAACUCAAAUUGAUUAAAUGAACAAGUUACUGAAGGGAUAACAGCAUAAUAAAUUUACACAGCUCUUAUUAAAAAAUUAGUUUAUGACCUCGAUGUUGAAUUAUUUUACUUCCACACGCAAGCGUGUGGAAAGAAGGUCUGUUCGACCUUUAAAUUUU